GCCGAAGUGGCGGAACUGGCAGACGCGGCAGACUCAAAAUCUGCUGGGGGUAUCCCCCAUGAGGGUUCGACUCCCUCCUUCGGCACCA
rnacentral:tRNA from 1 species